rnacentral:rRNA from 1 species
AGUCGAACGGCAGCACGGGUAGCAAUACCUGGUGGCGAGUGGCGCACGGGUGCGUAACACGUAUGCAAUCUACCUUUAACUGGGGAAUAACCCCUCGAAAGAGGGGCUAAUACCGCAUAACACUUCGAUGGGACAUCCCAAUGAAGUCAAACUUACGGGGGUUAAAGAUGAACAUGCGUCCGAUUAGCUAGUUGGCGGGGUAACGGCCCACCAAGGCGACGAUCGGUAGGGGAUCUGAGAGGAUGAUCCCCCACACUGGUACUGAGACACGGACCAGACUCCUACGGGAGGCAGCAGUAAGGAAUAUUGGACAAUGGGCGCAAGCCUGAUCCAGCCAUGCCGCGUGCAGGAUGAAAGUGCUCUGCACUGUAAACUGCUUUUACUUGGGAAAAAACCCCUGCUUUAUAGCGGGGCUGAUUGUACCGAGAGAAUAAGGGACGGCUAACUUCGUGCCAGCAGCCGCGGUAAUACGAAGGUCCCAAGCGUUAUCCGGAUUUAUUGGGUUUAAAGGGUGCGUAGGCGGGCUAUUAAGUCAGUGGUGAAAGCCCCAAGCUUAACUUGGGAACUGCCAUUGAUACUGAUGGUCUUGAGUACAUUUGAGGUGGGCGGAAUGUGUCAUGUAGCGGUGAAAUGCUUAGAUAUGACA